AGAAGAAAGUGGAAACACUCCAAUGUUAAAUGCUUUAAAUUUGAAGAGUUGUUGAAAUUAGAGGCUCACAUUGACAUCUCUGAGCAGCUUCUACAACUCAAAAAUAAAAUUGUCAUCAAAGUUAGCCUCUACCUCACUAAAAUGAUAAAACCACUUACUGCUACUAACAUCAAAGUUAGCCUCACAUAAAAAUGCACAUGCCGCAGGAAAUAACUUCAGUUAAUAUGUGACUCAUACCAAAUUGUAGCAUAUUUGAUAAGGACAAUUUAGUACUGAAUCUCCUAAAGCAUAAUAAAUUUAUUCAAAUUCUCCUAAGAUGAGCCAACCUAACCUAAAAUUAAGCAUGAAUCAAAUUAAAAUCCUCAAUUUGUAUAUAAAAGCUAUAAGGAAGUAAAGUAUUGCAAUAUAGGAACACCAACCUAUGGUCCACGAAGUGUGAAAAUUGUUGGUUGAUCCAACAGGAGAUACAGCAACAGUCAUAGAGAUACAAGAAUUGGACAUGAGGAAGACCCUAAUCAAAGCGAAAAUCAAAUCAGAAAUAUCAAAUCCUAAACAUAGUAAACCUCAAAUUAGAAAAAUCAAAACCCUAAUCAAAGUUAAUAUUUACCGUAAGUCAAAUUUCUGAAGGCAAAAUCACUAAAUACCACAAUCAAUUGAUUCUGAAAUCAACUUGAAAACGCUGAGUGAAGAAUUGCGAGAGUUUUUGAAGAUCGUCACGAAUGCUCCAUGAAGAAUCGAUGGAGAAUGGCGAGAGCUUGUGAAGUCUCGGAGAUUCUGUGAUUUUGGGAGAAAAAUUUGGAUGAAUCGGAUGAAAAAUUGAUCCGAGUGUGAAAGUGUAUGUGAUAGNNNNNNNNNNNNNNNNNNNNNNNNNNNNNNNNNNNNNNNNNNNNNNNNNNNNNNNNNNNNNNNNNAAAUUGAUCUGAGUGUGAAAGUGUAUGUGAUAGAAAAAUCGAUCUGAGAGCAAGAGAGUGUACCAAAGCUCGUAUGAAAGAUGAAAAUUACUAUUUUAAAAAAUAAAAAUUCAACAUAUUAAAUAAUUAAUAUUAUUGAAAACUGCAGCAGUUUGAAACCGCAGGUAAAGUGGAAAGCGGCAGCAGUUCUAUGCCAACCGUCGCUAUUUGACCGCCGCUGUUUUCCUUUUUUCUUGUAGUGGUGGUACAUAAGUAACCACCAUGAUUGACUGACUUUCUUAACUUAACUUAAUUAUCUUGAUUGUUAUCCUGCCCAUAAUUUCCCUCCCUGGGGUAACUAACUUGUCCCGAUUUCCUGAUUAUCAUAACUUAACGUGUAAUUAACAUUUUAAUUAAGCAUUACACUUAUAAUAUUCACAGAAAAGUAUCUAGGAAGGUAUAGGAUUGAAAAGUAUAAAAUAGUUCCAAAUUCUAAAUCUGCANNNNNNNNNNNNNNNNNNNNNNNNNNNNNNNNNNNNNNNNNNNNNCGAGCUUAUCAGUUCACAACUCUGUUUUGCGAUUUUCAUCAGUUUUGCAUAAAAUUAUUAAUACAAUCCUUUUCAUUCCUAACCAUGAGUAUCACAGCGUGUAAUAAAUUAUUAAAAUGGAGAGAAGCUUUGGGAUUAAGCUCCUCUCAUACACCACUUGACCCUAACUUAUGUUAUCAUGCAAUAAUUCAUAAUUGGGGACACUAACAUAAUAUAUCUAAUGUUAUCAUACAUAAUUUAUUUGGGCAACUAAAGUGCUAUGCUAUCGAAAGGUUGAGCUUCUAAGGGAACCCACCUGAAAAGAAGCUUGAACAAUAGCAUGGACACUUCCAGAGCUCGCCGAAAAGCAUAAUUUGCAACUGAAAUGCUGUAAACCCAUAAUCAGAAUUUUCUGCAUAAUUCUGCAUCAGAGCACCAACUUCAAAAAUACCUACUGACCUCAUUUCACGUCCAAAAAUUAUGCAACCAGUGCCACAACGACCGUAUUUGAGUUAGCUAUCCAUAGAAACAAACGGCAUCUCAAACGGUUUUACAGAGAGAGAACAGUCACCUUUUUAGUGCCUGUCUGUCCAGAAUACGGGUUUAACCCAAAUUCUUCCAAUUCUUCUAGUUCCCUUAAUUCUUAACUCAUAUUCACCAAAUCCAUUAAUUGUGAACAGAAUACAUGCAUAUCCAAAUAUGGAAACAUGAUUUGGGGUUAGGAAUUAGAAUUUCAACCAUCAACAUGAGAAGGAAUGGAGAAAUCAAGUUCUUACCUUAGAAUCCUAACAACUCCAAUUGAUGGUUGUGAACAUAGAUUGGCAUAUGCAAGCUUUAACAAUGGAGGAACAUGAACUUGUGAGGGGGGGAAGGGAUUUUCGACCAAUAGCAGGAAUGAGAGGAAAUCAAAAAUUGAUUUUGCUUCUAACGAGUUCAAUCGAUGUUGGGCACUAUAAUUUUCACACAUGCAGUGCUUAUUGAGAGAAUAAUUGAUUUUUGGUUUUCAUGGAGGAGGGAGUAUUGUCGUUGCUGAAGAAGAAGGGGGAAGGAGGUGCCUGUGAAGGAGGAAGUGAUUUCAUUUCUUCUCUCUCUCGGCUCUUUUGUCUCUUAUAGACAACAUUUUCACAUGAAUUACCAAGUUAUCCUUUAU
rnacentral:lncRNA from 1 species